UCAAAACGAAUCCAAUUCGAAUCGGCCAUGGCAUUAUUCCUCAAAACAGAAACGGUCCCCUAACUUUAAAUUCCUUUCCUAUUUUACAGUCCACACUGCAGAGUCUUUCUUUCCUUAAUCGAUAUAAGACAGGCAUGGUAAUAAGCAAUUGUGUUCAACUUCAAUAUGUGGUAUGGCUUCCAUUAUCAUCGUCAAAGAUAAAGAAGAGGAAGCCUUUCGCACUCUCAGCAACUGCCAAAACUGAGCAAAUCAGGGUUUGCACAAACCGCACAUGCCGCAAGCAAGGUUCCAUGCAGACGCUAGAAAUCAUGAUGGCUCUCUCUCCUCCCGAUCUUCCCGUCAACUCAUGCGGCUGCUUGGGCCGAUGUGGUGCUGGCCCCAACGUCGCCCUUCUCCCUCAAGGGAUCAUCGUCGGCCAUUGUGGCACCGCCGCUGCAGCCGCUCGCAUUAUGGCUCGACAUAAUGAUGACGAAGUUGAUGAUGCCACAAUCCGCAAUUCUUUGGAUGCUUUUGCUCUCAGAAAGAGAGCCCGGGUUGAAUUUGAUCAGGGCAAUUUCUCCCAGGCCGACCUCCUCCUUUCGCAGGCUAUACAUCUUAAACCAUUCGGUGGUCUCCAUAUUAUUUAUAAAAGCAGGUCCCAAGUAAGAUUGUUGAUGGAAAACUAUUCGGAGGCUCUCCAAGAUGCCCAAGAAGCUUUGAAUCUGGCUCCUCAAUAUACUGAGGCAUAUAUGUGUGAAGGUGAUGCUUUCAUGGCAAUGAAACAAUAUGAUGGAGCUGAGAAGUCAUAUUCAAUGUGUUUACAGAUAGAUCCUACCAUUCGUCGCUCUAAAGCAUUCAAGGUUCGUGUUGCACAAGUUCAGGAGAAACUAAUUGCUGCAAAUAUGCCUUACAACCAGCAGUAGAAAUGAAAUCUUGAACGCAUGUAUUAUGUAGCAAAGAUUAAAUCUUGGCAUUCCUUCUUUUCCAGGAUCAACAAAGCAAGCUAAAAGCUACAUGAUUCUUGCCAGCUAAAAGCUACAUGAUUCUUUGGCAAGUUUGUUAAGACCCUUGUUCUUUGUAUCCUUCAUGUCGAAUUCAGAAGACUAGACACUAGGGGCAUGUUUACUUAUGUAAAACAGUUUUAUUUGUGUGAUAAGUUAGUGGUUGAAAGGGUGAGAGAAGGGAAAGGAGAAGACCUAAAAUGAUGUGGAUGGAUGUAGUAUCAAAAUAUUUAUAAUUUUUGAAUAUUGAUGCAAAAUUGGUCUCAAACAGAGCUGAAUGGCAAAAAAAAAAAAAAUUUCAUAUGAUCAACCCUAACUAGUUUAGUAUUAAGGAUUUAUUGUUAUUGUAUAGUUAUAAGCUAUAUAUAAUCUGUAUCUGCUCAAUGAUAAGAAUAAUAUUGGAUUUAUUAUAUACUAUAAUUAAGUAAAUUUAACUUAAGAAGUAAUUUGUAAUAAGUUGAUUUUAUUAUUUUUUUUAUAUCCAAUAAUUUGUCUUAUAUUUGAAGUUUGCUCAUACAUUCAUUUAGGGAUAACAACAGCAAAAGCUUUAAAGUUUGUUCCUUUCUAUAAAGAAGUCUUCAAAGCUAUUUCUUGUUAUAAGGCAGUCAAACCAAAAUUCUACAUCAGUGGUCCCCGCUUCCGAUGAAUAAAAAAAAAAAAGAGGAAGUUUUUGUUUUCUGCUCUUUAGUUGUUGUUAUUCUAUUGUUUUGAAUCUCUAUAACUUGUUCCUUCUCUGUAUUCUCUUUCAUGCCUUUUUUUUUUUUUCUUUCUUUAUUCUCUUCUUUUUCAUUAUUUUCUUUUUUUCAUGAAUUCUUCUACUUUAAUAUACCAUUUUAAGGCAUUGGUUUUCUCUAGCUUAAUUCUUAUACUUCUAUAUGUAUUAUACAUUUGUUAUUGUUAUUGAGUGCACUUUUUGCUUUAAACUACUUUCUCUACCUAAUAUUUAAAAAGAUAAGAAAUUUCAAAUCAGCAAACAACUGUCAAAAAUAGCAAAUUAAAAAAUUUUUAAUUUUUCCAUCUUCCUUAGAUGUGCAAUUUCAAAUUCAUCACUCAACUUUACAUAUAGUAAAAAAAAAUUAAUUACAUUUUAGAUGAUCUAAGUUGCGAUUUCAGUAAUAAUUGAGGACUGAAAUAUAAUUAAAAAAAUUUGUUAGAAUAUUUUGAUUUGUCGUUUGAGAAAAAAAAACAUAGAUUUUUUUUUAAUAUUGGUGAACUAUAGUUUUUUUUUUUUUUAUACAAAUCAGAAAAUUAAAAGGUCAAAAAUAUUUUAGAUCUUUAUUGUAAUUUUAGAAAAAGGAUUUAGGCUGAAAUUUAAAGGAAAAAAGGGAUUUUUUUUUUAUCAUAUUUGAUUAAUGGAAUCUAGGUUCAACUACCGGAUAGGAGAAAGGCAAAAGACGAACCUUUUUAAAUGUUUUAGGACUUUAUCACCCAAAAAAAAAAAAAAAAGAAAGGGGAGAUUUAGGAGUUAAUUGUAAAAACAACUAGUUUUUAGGAAUUCAAAAGGGAGUUGUUGAUUUGAAAUUUGUUAUCUUUUUAUAUGAUUUGAAAGCUUAUCUUUUGCAAAUUGAUGACAAAGAGUGAAUAAAUUAGUUAACUUGUGGAAAAUAGUAUUGACUAAUAAAGAAUAAUUUUCAAAGCAUCAAGACUUGUGUAUAAGAAAAAUAACUGUUAGUACUUGAUUAUGAAAAUUCAUUACUAAAAAGAAUUCAGAUCAAUAUGAGCCUAGAAGCUAUAAUGCAUGGUAGCCGAAGUGGAUUCAUUCCAUGAUGGGCAGCAGAAGUAACUAAAUUUCUUAGUGGUUAACAUGCGAUAGAACAUUCAAGUUGAAAAUAAGAGAUAUGAGAGAGAGAGGGGUGGGUGGGGGGGUGGGUGUGCAUUUCUAUAAUUUGUGUUGACCAAGAAUGUCUGGUUAUUGCAUGACAUUUUUUGUAACAGAAAAACUGAACUUCCUCAGUUUGUGAGAUUUGUGUUUUAUUUGGAGAACUCUUAAGAAACAGCAGUUUGAUUUAUUCAAGGAAUUCAAGAAACUAAUAUGGGCACGUGUUCUGGUGUUCCUCCAAAUCUAUGGAACCACAUUGAUGGUCAACUUCUGGCCAUUUUCACAGUGAUCACUUACUCCACAUAUGAACCAGAUUCGGCCAACCUCUGAUAAGAACAGCGAGUCAUUACCGCCUGUAAACAGUCCCAUGUACGUGUCUUUUAUGCAUCCUUCAUAGGCUGUUGAAUUCACUUGCAUCACAUUGUGCAAGCCUUUUUCGUAAUUGAACUCUGCCAGGAUAAGAUAUAUGUGGCAAAACGUCAUUCUUGAUAAUUGCAACAAUUUAAAAAAUAACCUGUUUAUGUAGUUGCAGAAUAUAAAUGUCAGCUUAGAAACUCUGUACAUGAUCGACAAUUCUGUGUGUUCUGUUCGUGUGAGAGUGUCUGCAUAUGCCUGGAACUGUUCAUUUUUGCAUGUAAACUUACCAAGGACAUCGCCAACGUGAAACUCUUUUCCCUGGACCCAGUUGGAGGAAUUGGUGAAGAGUGUCCAUCCAUCAGUGUCUCCGACUAUGUGGGUUGCUCCUAUUGCAUGAAGCACAUUAAGGUACGUAGCAAGAAGGUGGGGUACAACCAUAUUGGAGAAUGAAUGAGCUUGAAGAGGCAUUCUUUUUCUUUGAUUUCCAGUUUUUAUGUGUGAUGAUAUGUUCCAGAGGGAAUGAUAAAACUGUCACUGAUAAGUUUUGGAGGAUCACAAUGUUUUGGUGUCCUGAUUAGGUUGACAUGUAAAUUGCAUUGCUUGUCUGCUAUUACUGGCAUGUCAUGCUUGUGUUAUGCUUUGUUGUAUCAAUGAACACUAACAGGUAUGCACUAGCAUUUCAAAUGAACAGUUCUCUAGGCUGAUUUCAUU